ACGUAGGAGGCGAGCGUUAUCCGGAAUUACUGGGCGUAAAGCGUGCGCAGGCGGUUGCUAAGACAGGUGUGAAAUCCCCGGGCUUAACCUGGGAAUGGCGCUUGUGACUGGCGGGCUGGAGUACGGCAGAGGGGUGUGGAAUUCCGGGUGUAGUGGUGAAAUGCGUAGAGAUCCGGAGGAACACCAGAGGCGAAGGCGACACCCUGGGCCGUACCUGACGCUAAGACGCGACAGCACGGGGAGCGAACGG
rnacentral:rRNA from 1 species